rnacentral:lncRNA from 1 species
CUUUGAUCAAAAUAGCAGGCGGGGUAAGAACUAAUUUAAAAGUCCUGAAAAUUGAUAUAUGCCUUUUCUCGCUUAAGCACAUGAAGUAUCGAUGUGAUAUCGAGAGUAGGAGCGAAGAAUGAUUGAGUGGUAGGUAAUGUAAAAUGUCUUCCUGCGUACUUUUCUCCUUCCUUUAUCUAGAGUUUACACUAUCCGGCUCAUUUUUGUUGGUCUCAGAACGAGAUAUGGUGUUUUAUUAAUUCACAUCACGAUGUCGUCUUUGCAUGCUAUAUUUGAGACUGAAAAAACACCAUCGACCUUGUAUUACUCUACGCAAAAUAAUCAACAACAAAACAUUGUGCACAUUAAAAGUAUUUGAAUGCAUGCGUGAUGUCCAGUGGCACAUGUUAGAUGCAUUUUCAGGACAAGACUAAUUUUUUUCAAAUUUUAGGUCCUUUAAGAUUCAAAGAGUGUGACACAUAUCGUAC